GAAGGUGUAGCUCAGUGGUACAGCAUUUGCUUGGAAUGCGUAAGGACCUGGGUUCAAUCCCAGUAACUUCA
rnacentral:tRNA from 1 species